rnacentral:rRNA from 1 species
GAUGAACGCUAGCUACAGGCUUAACACAUGCAAGUCGCGGGGCAGCAUGGGGGUUGCUUGCAAUCCCCGAUGGCGACCGGCGCACGGGUGAGUAACGCGUAUCCAACCUGCCCUUCACCACGGGAUAACCCGGCGAAAGUCGGACUAAUACCGUAUGUUGUCCAUUGACGGCAUCCGAUUUGGACGAAAGGUUUGGCGGUGAAGGAUGGGGAUGCGUCCGAUUAGCUGGACGGCGGGGUGACGGCCCACCGUGGCGACGAUCGGUAGGGGUUCUGAGAGGAAGGUCCCCCACACUGGAACUGAGACACGGUCUAGACUCCUACGGGAGGCAGCAGUGAGGGAUAUUGGUCAAUGGGCGUAAGCCUGAACCAGCCAAGUAGCGUGCAGGAGGACGGCCCUGUGGGUUGUAAACUGCUUUUAUGCGGGGAUAAAGUGGCCCACGUGUGGGUUUUUGCAGGUACCGCAUGAAUAAGGACCGGCUAAUUCCGUG